GUGACUGCGUACCUUUUGUAUAAUGGGUCAGCGACUUAUAUUCUGUAGCAAGGUUAACCGUUUAGGGGAGCCGCAGGGAAACCGAGUCUUAACUGGGCGUUAAGUUGCAGGGUAUAGACCCGAAACCCGGUGAGCUAGCCAUGGGCAGGUUGAAGGUUGGGUAACACUAACUGGAGGACCGAACCGACUAAUGUUGAAAAAUUAGCGGAUGACUUGUGGCUGGGGGUGAAAGGCCAAUCAAACCGGGAGAUAGCUGGUUCUCCCCGAAAGCUAUUUAGGUAGCGCCUCGUGAAUUCAUCUCCGGGGGUAGAGCACUGUUUCGGCUAGGGGGUCAUCCCGACUUACCAACCCGAUGCAAACUGCGAAUACCGGAGAAUGUUAUCACGGGAGACACACGGCGGGUGCUAACGUCCGUCGUGGAGAGGGAAACAACCCAGACCGCCAGCUAAGGUCCCCAAGUCAUGGUUAAGUGGGAAACGAAGUGGGAAGGCUCAGACAGCCAGGAUGUUGGCUUAGAAGCAGCCAUCAUUUAAAGAAAGCGUAAUAGCUCACUGGUCGAGUCGGCCUGCGCGGAAGAUGUAACGGGGCUAAACCAUGCACCGAAGCUGCGGCAGCGAUAUAAAUAUAUUGUUGGGUAGGGGAGCGUUCUGUAAGCCGGUGAAGGUGGGUCGUGAGGCCUGCUGGAGGUAUCAGAAGUGCGAAUGCUGACAUAAGUAACGAUAAAGCGGGUGAAAAACCCGCUCGCCGGAAGACCAAGGGUUCCUGUCCAACGUUAAUCGGGGCAGGGUGAGUCGACCCCUAAGGCGAGGCCGAAAGGCGUAGUCGAUGGGAAACAGGUUAAUAGUCCUGUACUCGGUGUUACUGCGAAGGGGGGACGGAGAAGGCUAGGCCGGCCGGGCGACGGUUUGUCCCGGUUGAAGCGUGUAGGUGGGGUGACCUGGCAAAUCCGGUCAUCCAUAACACUGAGGCGUGAUAACGAGCCACUGCGGUGGUGAAGUGGUUGAUGCCCUGCUUCCAGGAAAAGCCUCUAAGCAUCAGGUAACAUUGAAUCGUACCCCAAACCGACACAGGUGGUCAGGUAGAGAAUACUCAGGCGCUUGAGAGAACUCGGGUGAAGGAACUAGGCAAAAUGGUGCCGUAACUUCGGGAGAAGGCACGCUGGCGUUAGGUGAAGGGCCGUGCGCCCGGAGCUGAAGCCAGUCGCAGAGACCAGCUGGCUGCAACUGUUUAAUAAAAACACAGCACUGUGCCAACACGAAAGUGGACGUAUACGGUGUGACGCCUGCCCGGUGCUGGAAGGUUAAUUGAUGGGGUUAGCGGCAACGCGACGCUCCUGAUCGAAGCCCCAGUAAACGGCGGCCGUAACUAUAACGGUCCUAAGGUAGCGAAAUUCCUUGUCGGGUAAGUUCCGACCUGCACGAAUGGCGUAAUGAUGGCCAGGCUGUCUCCACCCGAGACUCAGUGAAAUUGAACUCGCUGUGAAGAUGCAGUGUACCCGCGGCAAGACGGAAAGACCCCGUGAACCUUUACUAUAGCUUGACACUGAACAUGGAGCCUUGAUGUGUAGGAUAGGUGGGAGGCUUUGAAGUGUGGACGCCAGUCUGCAUGGAGCCAUCCUUGAAAUACCACCCUUGAAUGUUUGAUGUUCUAACGUGGACCCGUUAUCCGGGUUGCGGACAGUGUCUGGUGGGUAGUUUGACUGGGGCGGUCUCCUCCCAAAGCGUAACGGAGGAGCACGAAGGUUG
rnacentral:ncRNA from 1 species